UCUCUCUCUCUCUCUCAACCGAUAUCUCUCUCCCGACUGCCAACCUGAGAAAAAAAAAAUGAAGGCAAAAAAAAAAUUGAAACCCCCUCCACUCUCUCUCUCCCUCAACCUGUCUACAGCUGUAAAACACCCUUCCCUCUCUCUCUCUCUCUCUCUCUCUCUCUCUCAACCCAUUUCUGUUCCCUCUCUCUCUCUCCCUGAACCAUCUCUGUUUAGCCCUAUCUGUCUCUAACAGCCGAUCUCUCUCUCCGAUGCUCUCUCUCUCUCUUUCUCUCUCUACGCGACGCUCUCGCUCCACGCCGCUCUCUCUCUCGCUCUCUCGCGCCGUCUCUUCUCUCCUCGGCGGCUCGGCGUUACCCUCGCCAAUGCUCCCUACCUAUUAUCGGGUUCGGCGGCUCGGCGUAACCCUCCUCACUGCUCCCUGCUUAUUAUCGGGUUCGGCGGCUAUACCUACUUUGGCUUCUACAGGUGACCCCUAUCCCUAUAAUCUGGCCUCUACAGGUAAUCCCUACAGGUAAUCCUCUCUCAUCUCCUCUCUCAUCAGAUCUCCUAAGAUUUUACUUCGCAUCUCUUUAUUCCCUAUUGCCAGAAGCUUUCUUUUAAAAAAUAAUUCUAAAGAUAUUCUGAGAUCUUUAGAAUAAAUGAGAAGAUAUCCUGAAAUCUAUUCUGUCAUCAUCAUGUCUGCUUUUGUAUUUGCAAAAAAUCAUUGUUCCAGCUUCGUAGAAAAAAUAUCCUGAAGAUAUCCUGUGAUUCUGAGCCUAUAAAUAGCAUGUACUAUUUGCUCCAAAAAAACAGCUGUACGAACCUCUCUGUUUCUCUACAGUGUAAGGUGAGCAAUUUGAUUGGUUGCAACCCCUCUGCCUGUGCCUAUAUAGUGGCUUCUUAUAUUUGGGCAACCUAUACACUAGCUGGUGUUUGCUCAUGAAAAUUGGAAAUGCUGCUUGGGUAUUCCAUGCAAAGGCAACCAUCUGCUACAGAUUGGACGGCCUUUCUAUGCGAACCCAUCUACUACUACCUAUUGCCUGGCACUGCUGUAUUGGGGGCUUUCUUAUGUCUUGGUUCCUGCUGUCCCUGUUUUCUACUCUCCAUACUCUUGAUUUGUUCGCCUUUUCUUCUAAUUCGUUUGGGUUUUUUUUUUGGGGAGGCAAAGAUGACGACUGUAACACAAAUCUUCCUGUGCGAGCCCAUCUACUACUACCUAUUGCCUCGCACUGCUAUAUUGGUGUUUUCUUGUGUCUUGGUUUCUUGUGUUCCUGUUUUCUACUGUCCAUGCUCUUGAUUUGUUAGCUUUUUCUUCUAAUCCCUUUGGUUUAUUUUUUUUCUUUUUUUUUGGGAGGCAUAGAUGACGACUGUAACACAAAAAAAAAAAGAACUGAACUUUCUUUACACUUUGGGAUUGGCUGCUGUGCAUAGAUGACGACUGUAACACAAAAAAAAAAGAACUGAACUUUCUUUACACUUUGGGAUUGGCUGCUGUGCAUAGAUGACGACUGUAACACAAAAAAAAAAAAGAACUGAACUUUUUUUACACUGUGGGACUGGCUGCUGUUUCUGGCUGCUGUGCAUAGAUGACGACUGUAACACAAAAAAAAAAAAGAACUGAACUUUUUUUACACUGGGACUGGCUGCUGUUUCGGGAGAUAUAUUUUUUACUGUGGAACCAUCUAACAGCGAUUGGACGGCCUAUCACAGGGAAGCCAUCUAAUACUGUUUAUUGACUGAUGUUACUAUAUUGGGCUCUGCCCCCCCUGUUUUUCUGACCCCGUGUUCUCUCCCAGCAUGAAGUUCGGCCAAGAUUUGCCUGUGCAACCGACGACGGGAAUGCUUUUGCUCGUCUGAACCAUGGCAGCUAUCCACUUUUCUUACGUUAGGAUGCUUGGCGAGGUUUACGAUCAACUCAGCCUCGGCGUGCCUCAGAUUGUAGUGACCCCUGAUACCGAAGGCAAGUUCGUUGGAUACAUAGACCUCCAAAUUCCGCACAGUGGCACUGUCAUUCAAACUGUGCGUUGUUCGAGUUCCCCGCUCCCAACUGCUACUGCCGCUGAACAGGAGACUGCACGUCUUGCUAUGAAGCGGCUUAAGGAAGAAUGCGACUUUCAAUACAUGGAUAUGAAUUAUGACGACUCCCUUUUAUACAAGAACUUAUAUGAGCACCAAACAACCAACUGUGCUGUUACCUACUGUUCUUUCAUUCUUUACUUCUUUUUUUUUCUCUCUUGCCUUUUCCCUUUACUGUUAUUUGCCUCUCUUUUUUUUUUUUUACGGUUUUGAAAGGUGUGCCGACUGUACUCUUUUCCGUACUACUGUUGAGAAUUUACUUCUUUUUGUUCUCUAUUUCUUUUCCCGUUCGUGAAGUGUGAGAAAUGCGGCGAAGUGAAGUGUGAGAAAUGCGGCGAAGCUUCAUUUGCCUCUCUUUUUUUUCACGGUUACUGUUGAGAAUUUACUUCUUUUUGUUCUCUAUUUCUUUUCCCGUUCGUGAAGUGUGAGAAAUGCGGCGAAGUGAAGUGUGAGAAAUGCGGCGAAGCUUCAUUUGCCUCUCUUUUUUUUCACGGUUACUGUUGAGAAUUUA